rnacentral:rRNA from 1 species
GUGGGGAAUAUUGGACAAUGGGCGAAAGCCUGAUCCAGCCAUGCCGCGUGUGUGAAGAAGGUCUUCGGAUUGUAAAGCACUUUAAGUUGGGAGGAAGGGCAGUAAGUUAAUACCUUGCUGUUUUGACGUUACCGACAGAAUAAGCACCGGCUAACUUCGUGCCAGCAGCCGCGGUAAUACGAAGGGUGCAAGCGUUAAUCGGAAUUACUGGGCGUAAAGCGCGCGUAGGUGGUUUUGUAAGUUGGAGGUGAAAUCCCCGGGCUCAACCUGGGAACUGCCUACAAAACUGCAUGACUAGAGUACGGUAGAGGGUAGUGGAAUUUCCUGUGUAGCGGUGAAAUGCGUAGAUAUAGGAAGGAACACCAGUGGCGAGGGCGACUACCUGGACUGAUACUGACACUGAGGUGCGAAAGCGUGGGGAGCAAACAGGAUUAGAAACCCGGGUAGUCC